AGCCUCCAGUUCCCUUCCACAUCAGCUUUGAGGCUAGUCUCUUUAUUUGUAAUGGAGGAGGAGUACACUGAAGCUGGCCUCACAGAGAUGUGUGUAUUUGGUAUACGGCACAGGACCAGAUUCGAACAUGC
ensembl:snoRNA Gm55797 predicted gene, 23836